rnacentral:rRNA from 1 species
UUGACGUGGGCGGCAGGCUUACACAUGCAAGUCGAGCGGUAACAGGUCUAGCUUGCUAGACGCUGACGAGCGGCGGACGGGUGAGUAAUGCAUAGGAAUCUGCCCGAUAGUGGGGGAUAACCUGGGGAAACCCAGGCUAAUACCGCAUACGUCCUACGGGAGAAAGGGGGCUUCGGCUCCCGCUAUCGGAUGAGCCUAUGUCGGAUUAGCUAGUUGGUGAGGUAAAGGCUCACCAAGGCGACGAUCCGUAGCUGGUCUGAGAGGAUGAUCAGCCACAUCGGGACUGAGACACGGCCCGAACUCCUACGGGAGGCAGCAGUGGGGAAUAUUGGACAAUGGGGGCAACCCUGAUCCAGCCAUGCCGCGUGUGUGAAGAAGGCCUUAGGGUUGUAAAGCACUUUCAGCGAGGAAGAACGCCUGGCGGUUAAUACCCGCCAGGAAAGACAUCACUCGCAGAAGAAGCACCGGCUAACUCCGUGCCAGCAGCCGCGGUAAUACGGAGGGUGCAAGCGUUAAUCGGAAUUACUGGGCGUAAAGCGCGCGUAGGUGGCUUGAUAAGCCGGUUGUGAAAGCCCCGGGCUCAACCUGGGAACGGCAUCCGGAACUGUCAGGCUAGAGUGCAGGAGAGGAAGGUAGAAUUCCCGGUGUAGCGGUGAAAUGCGUAGAGAUCGGGAGGAAUACCAGUGGCGAAGGCGGCCUUCUGGACUGACACUGACACUGAGGUGCGAAAGCGUGGGUAGCAAACAGGAUUAGAUACCCUGGUAGUCCACGCCGUAAACGAUGUCGACCAGCCGUUGGGUGCCUAGCGCACUUUGUGGCGAAGUUAACGCGAUAAGUCGACCGCCUGGGGAGUACGGCCGCAAGGUUAAAACUCAAAUGAAUUGACGGGGGCCCGCACAAGCCGUUUA